UACGUAGGGGGCAAGCGCUGUCCGGAAUUACUGGGCGUAAAGGGCGCGUAGGCGGCUUAUUAAGUUAGAUGUGAAAUUCCCGGGCUUAACCCGGGCGUUGCAUUUAAAACUGAUAGGCUUGAGUGCAGGAGAGGAAAGCGGAAUUCCUAGUGUAGCGGUGGAAUGCGUAGAUAUUAGGAGGAACAUCAGUGGCGAAGGCGGCUUUCCGGACUGUAACUGACGCUGAGGCGCGAAAGCGUGGGUAGCAAAC
rnacentral:rRNA from 1 species